GGGGGCGGGAGGUUCGACCCGAGCGAAGCGAGAGAACGUUGCGCGAGCAACGGCCCGCAGGGCGAGCCACGUAGUGGUGAGUCAUCCUCUAUCACCGACCA
rnacentral:sRNA from 1 species